CCUACGGGGGGCUGCAGUGGGGAAUAUUGGACAAUGGGGGCAACCCUGAUCCAGCCAUGCCGCGUGUGUGAAGAAGGCCCUCGGGUUGUAAAGCACUUUCAGUGAGGAAGAACGCCUGGUGGUUAAUACCCAUCAGGAAAGACAUCACUCACAGAAGAAGCACCGGCUAAUUCCGUGCCAGCAGCCGCGGUAAUACGGAGGGUGCGAGCGUUAAUCGGAAUUACUGGGCGUAAAGCGCGCGUAGGUGGCUUGAUAAGCCGGUUGUGAAAGCCCCGGGCUCAACCUGGGAACGGCAUCCGGAACUGUCAAGCUAGAGUGCAGGAGAGGAAGGUAGAAUUCCCGGUGUAGCGGUGAAAUGCGUAGAGAUCGGGAGGAAUACCAGUGGCGAAGGCGGCCUUCUGGACUGACACUGACACUGAGGUGCGAAAGCGUGGGUAGCAAACAGGAUUAGAUACCCCUGUAGUC
rnacentral:rRNA from 1 species